rnacentral:tRNA from 1 species
UCCCAGCUUCUUCAUAAGCUCCCACACGAAUUGCUUGAUUCACUGGUUAGACGAUUGGGUCUGUAGCUCAGUUGGUUAGAGCGCACCCCUGAUAAGGGUGAGGUCGGCAGUUCGAAUCUGCCCAGACCCACCAAUUGUUGGUGUGCUGCGUGAUCCGAUACGGGGCCAUAGCUCAGCUGGGAGAGCGCCUGCUUUGCACGCAGGAGGUCAGGAGUUCGAUCCUCCUUGGCUCCACCAUCCAAACAAUCGUCGAAAGCUCAGAAAUGAAUGUUCGUGAAUGAACAUUGAUUUCUGGUCUUUGCACCAGAACUGUUCUUUAAAAAUUCGGGUAUGUGAUAGAAGUAAGACUGAAUGAUCUCUUUCACUGGUGAUCAUUCAAGUCAAGGUAAAAUUUGCGAGUUCAAGCGCGAAUUUUCGGCGAAUGUCGUCUUCACAGUAUAACCAGAUUGCUUGGGG